AUGGCCCAAGGUAAGGGAUGAGUCUCAGCUCAGGGCUGUCAAUCAUGUUCUCCUCCCCCUCCACCCCACAACUUUGUUCCUAGCCCUCGCUUCCACAGACAAACCAUCUUCGCAAGAGACCUUACUGAGGCAGUGAGAUUGUUGACUCUGCUUCUGGCUUGGCAUGCCAAGACUUUGCAAGAAUCUACCAGCAGAAAGAAACGAAGAGCCUUGGGAAGGUGACGGGACCGUGGAGCCUCCUGGAUUUGUUCUCACUAUGUGUUUCAAGAUACCGAGCCACUGAUGAGUGUGAGACCCAGGAACUAAAACCUUUCCUGCUGUGGUGCAGCUGCCCCUGGUGGAAUUACCCCAUGGUCAAUGUGAUGUGAAGAGGCUGACUCAAACCACACGUCAAGAGAUGGAUGACCUGUGCUUGAUGCUGAUGGAUGGGAUUCAGAUGCCUAAUUCAGUGCGUUGGGGAAGGCAGAGAACAUACGAGACCUGUGAU
rnacentral:lncRNA from 1 species